UACGUAGGGUGCAAGCGUUGUCCGGAAUUAUUGGGCGUAAAGAGCUCGUAGGCGGUUUGUCGCGUCGGCUGUGAAAACUCGGGGCUCAACCCCGAGCCUGCAGUCGAUACGGGCAAACUUGAGUGCGGUAGGGGAGACUGGAAUUCCUGGUGUAGCGGUGAAAUGCGCAGAUAUCAGGAGGAACACCGAUUGCGAAGGCAGCUCGCUGGGACGUUACUGACGCUGAGACGCGAAAGCGUGGGGAGCAAACAGG
rnacentral:rRNA from 1 species